GGGGGUAUAGCUCAGUGGUAGAGAAUUCGGCAGCAGAUCGGGAAGUCUCCGGUUCAAACCCGGGUGUCCCCU